rnacentral:rRNA from 1 species
UGGGGAAUAUUGCACAAUGGGCGAAAGCCUGAUGCAGCCAUGCCGCGUGUGUGAAGAAGGCUCUAGGGUUGUAAAGCACUUUCAGUAGGGAGGAAAGGUUGAAGGUUAAUACCCUUCAGCUGUGACGUUACCUACAGAAGAAGCACCGGCUAACUCCGUGCCAGCAGCCGCGGUAAUACGGAGGGUGCAAGCGUUAAUCGGAAUUACUGGGCGUAAAGCGUGCGUAGGCGGCUACCUAAGUUGGAUGUGAAAGCCCCGGGGCUCAACCUGGGAACUGCAUCCAAAACUGGGUGGCUAGAGUGCGAGAGAGGAGUGUGGAAUUUCCUGUGUAGCGGUGAAAUGCGUAGAUAUAGGAAGGAACACCCAGUGGCGAAGGCGACACUCUGGCUUGACACUGACGCUGAGGUACGAAAAGCGUGGGGGAGC